rnacentral:rRNA from 1 species
AGUGAACGCUGGCGGUAGGCCUAACACAUGCAAGUCGAACGGCAGCACAGUAAGAGCUUGCUCUUACGGGUGGCGAGUGGCGGACGGGUGAGGAAUACAUCGGAAUCUACUUUUUCGUGGGGGAUAACGUAGGGAAACUUGCGCUAAUACCGCAUACGACCUACGGGUGAAAGCAGGGGAUCUUCGGACCUUGCGCGAUUGAAUGAGCCGAUGUCGGAUUAGCUAGUUGGCGGGGUAAAGGCCCACCAAGGCGACGAUCCGUAGCUGGUCUGAGAGGAUGAUCAGCCACACUGGAACUGAGACACGGUCCAGACUCCUACGGGAGGCAGCAGUGGGGAAUAUUGGACAAUGGGCGCAGGCCUGAUCCAGCCAUACCGCGUGGGUGAAGAAGGCCUUCGGGUUGUAAAGCCCUUUUGUUGGGAAAGAAAAGCAGCAGGUUAAUACCCCGCUGUUCUGACGGUACCCAAAGAAUAAGCACCGGCUAACUUCGUG